rnacentral:rRNA from 1 species
AGUGAACGCUGGCGGUAGGCCUAACACAUGCAAGUCGAACGGCAGCACAGUAAGAGCUUGCUCUUACGGGUGGCGAGUGGCGGACGGGUGAGGAAUACAUCGGAAUCUACUUUUUCGUGGGGGAUAACGUAGGGAAACUUACGCUAAUACAGCAUACGACCUACGGGUGAAAGCAGGGGAUCUUCGGACCUUGCGCGAUUGAAUGAGCCGAUGUCGGAUUAGCUAGUUGGCGGGGUAAAGGCCCACCAAGGCGACGAUCCGUAGCUGGUCUGAGAGGAUGAUCAGCCACACUGGAACUGAGACACGGUCCAGACUCCUACGGGAGGCAGCAGUGGGGAAUAUUGGACAAUGGGCGCAAGCCUGAUCCAGCCAUACCGCGUGGGUGAAGAAGGCCUUCGGGUUGUAAAGCCCUUUUGUUGGGAAAGAAAAGCAGCAGGUUAAUACCCCGCUGUUCUGACGGUACCCAAAGAAUAAGCACCGGCUAAUUUCGUG